GAUGAACGCUGGCGGCGUGCCUAAUACAUGCAAGUAGAACGCUGAAGGAGGAGCUUGCUCUUCUGGAUGAGUUGCGAACGGGUGAGUAACGCGUAGGUAACCUGCCUGGUAGCGGGGGAUAACUAUUGGAAACGAUAGCUAAUACCGCAUGACAACAGUUAUUGCAUGAUAACUGUUUAAAAGGGGCAACUGCUCCACUACCAGAUGGACCUGCGUUGUAUUAGCUAGUUGGUGAGGUAACGGCUCACCAGGGCGACGAUACAUAGCCGACCUGAGAGGGUGAUCGGCCACACUGGGACUGAGACACGGCCCAGACUCCUACGGGAGGCAGCAGUAGGGAAUCUUCGGCAAUGGACGGAAGUCUGACCGAGCAACGCCGCGUGAGUGAAGAAGGUUUUCGGAUCGUAAAGCUCUGUUGUAAGAGAAGAACGAGUGUGAGAGUGGAAAGUUCACACUGUGACGGUAUCUUACCAGAAAGGGACGGCUAACUACGUG
rnacentral:rRNA from 1 species